rnacentral:sRNA from 1 species
CCAGCCGCCUGAGGGAACUGAUCUCAGCUUGGCCCAGCGUUAACUCUUCCUCCUCUUCCUCCUUCGGGCCAGCUUUCCUUAGGGGCCGCAACCCGGACGCCAGGCCGGUUUCGGAGUGGGGAGUGCCCAUUUUCUCUCUUUCCCACGUUCCUGGGCCCCAGACGCCAUUUACAGGUGGGUGGCUUGGGUCAGCUUCCCCGCCCCCACCCGACUCCCGUCACGGGAGAGCGCACACCGCGCCCCGAGAACCAAUCAGCAGCCGCCUUAGGUGGCCAUGUCUGAGUCUGGACACAGUCAGCCUGGACUCUAUGGGAUAGAGCGGCGGCGACGGUGGAAGGAGCCUGGCUCUGGUGGCCCCCAGAAUCUCUCUGGGCCUGGUGGUCGGGAGAGGGACUACAUUGCACCAUGGGAAAGAGAGAGACGGGAUGCCAGCGAAGAGACAAGCACUUCCGUCAUGCAGAAAACCCCCAUUAUCCUCUCAAAACCUCCAGCAGAGCGGGUGAGCAGAGAAGGAGGGAGGAGGGGGAGCCGUUAGGGAAGGGAUUGCCCCCAUUGAUGGAUUUUUUUUACCUCCGCAGUCAAAACAGCCACCACCUCCAACAGCCGCUGCUGCCCCGCCUGCGCUGGCCGCUCUGGAGAAGCCCAUCGUUCUCAUGAAGCCGCGGGAGGAGGGGAAGGG